rnacentral:rRNA from 1 species
UACGGAGGAUUCGAGCGUUAUCCGGAUUUAUUGGGUUUAAAGGGAGCGUAGGCGGGUUGUUAAGUCAGUUGUGAAAGUUUGCGGCUCAACCGUAAAAUUGCAGUUGAUACUGGCAUCCUUGAGUACAGUAGAGGUAGGCGGAAUUCGUGGUGUAGCGGUGAAAUGCUUAGAUAUCACGAAGAACUCCGAUUGCGAAGGCAGCCUGCUGGACUGUGACUGACGCUGAUGCUCGAAAGUGUGGGUAUCAAACAGG